CCCAUCGCCUACAAGGUUGUGGGGAUGCCCCGCCUCUGGAUCCAGGGACCACAGUGAGGACACCCUCCUCUCCUCCUCAGGUGGCGGACCCCGCCCGGGCCCCGAUCCAGGGAGCACAGUGAGGAGGUCCUCCUCAGGUGGCGGACCCCGCCUGGGCCCUGAUCCAGGGAGCACAGUGAGGAGGUCCUCCUCAGGUGGAGGACCCCGCCUGGGUCCCGAUCCAGGGAGCACAGUGAGGAGGUCCUCCUCAGGUGGCGGACCCCGCCUGGGUCCCGAUCCAGGGAGCACAGUGAGGAGGUCCUCCUCAGGUGGCGGACCCCGCCUGGGUCCCGAUCCAGGGAGCACAGUGAGGAGGCCCUCCUCAGGUGGCGGACCCCGCCUGGACCCCCAAUCCAGGGAGCACAGUGAGGAGGCCCUCCUCUCCUUAGGUGUCGGACCCCGCCUGGGUCCCGAUCCAGGGAGCACAGUGAGGAGGCCCUCCUCAGGUGGAGGACCCCGCCUGGACCCCCAAUCCAGGGAGCACAGUGAGGAGGCCCUCCUCUCCUUAGGUGGCGGACCCCGCCUGGGUCCCGAUCCAGG
ensembl:lncRNA